GACGAACGCUGGCGGCGUGCUUAACACAUGCAAGUCGAACGGAAAGGCCCUGCUUUUGUGGGGUGCUCGAGUGGCGAACGGGUGAGUAACACGUGAGUAACCUGCCCUUGACUUUGGGAUAACUUCAGGAAACUGGGGCUAAUACCGGAUAUGAGCUCCUGCUGCAUGGUGGGGGUUGGAAAGUUUCGGCGGUUGGGGAUGGACUCGCGGCUUAUCAGCUUGUUGGUGGGGUAGUGGCUUACCAAGGCUUUGACGGGUAGCCGGCCUGAGAGGGUGACCAGCCACAUUGGGACUGAGAGACGGCCCAGACUCCUACGGGAGGCAGCAGUGGGGAAUAUUGCACAAUGGGCGGAAGCCUGAUGCAGCAACGCCGCGUGCGGGAUGACGGCCUUCGGGGUGUAAACCGCUUUCGCCUGUGACGAAGCGUGAGUGACGGUAAUGGGUAAAGAAGCACCGGCUAACUACGUG
rnacentral:rRNA from 1 species